GACGGAGGGGGCGAGCGUUGUUCGGAAUUAUUGGGCGUAAAGGGCUUGUAGGCGGACGAGUGUGUCUGGCGUGAAACUCUCCACCGCUCAACGGGGAGAGGCCGCUGGAAACUGCACGUCUGGAGUUUGGCAGAGGAGCGUGGAAUUCCGCAUGUAGCGGUGGAAUGCGUAGAUAUGCGGAAGAACACCGGUGGCGAAGGCGGCGCUCUGGGCCAAAACUGACGCUGAGGAG
rnacentral:rRNA from 1 species